rnacentral:rRNA from 1 species
AGUGAACGCUGGCGGUAGGCCUAACACAUGCAAGUCGAACGGCAGCACAGUAAGAGCUUGCUCUUACGGGUGGCGAGUGGCGGACGGGUGAGGAAUACAUCGGAAUCUACUUUUUCGUGGGGGAUAACGUAGGGAAACUUACGCUAAUACCGCAUACGCCCUACGGGUGAAAGCAGGGGAUCUUCGCACCUUGCGCGAUUGAAUGAGCCGAUGUCGGAUUAGCUAGUUGGCGAGGUAAAGGCCCACCAUGGCGACGAUCCGUAGCUGGUCUGAGAGGAUGGUCAGCCGCACUGGAACUGAGACACGGUCCAGACUCCUACGGGAGGCGGCAGUGGGGAAUAUUGGACAAUGGGCGCAAGCCAGAUCCAGACAUACCGCGUGGGUGAGGAAGGCCUUCGGGUUGUAAAGCCCUUUUGUUGGGAAAGAAAAGCAGCAGGUUAAUACCCCGCUGUUCUGACGGUACCCAAAGAAUAAGCACCGGCUAACUUCGUG